rnacentral:rRNA from 1 species
CAGUAGCCGCGGGAACACGGAGGAUCCGAGCGUUAUCCGGAAUUAUUGGGUUUAAAGGGUGCGUAGGCGGAUAGAUAAGUCAGUGGUGAAAGACGGUGGCUCAACCAUCGCAGUGCCGUUGAUACUGUUUAUCUUGAAUAUGGAUGAGGUAGGCGGAAUGUGGCAAGUAGCGGUGAAAUGUAUAGAUAUGCCACAGAACACCGAUUGCGAAGGCAGCUUACCAAGGCAAAAUUGACGCUGAGGCACGAAAGCGUGGGGAUCGAACAGGAUUAGAUACCCGCGUAGUCCCUGUCUCUUAUAC